UCCUGCUUGUCUUCUGAUGGUCUCUUUUUGGCAAGGAGACCUGUGUGAGGCUGGUAGGAGAGUGGCUGGUGUCAGGCAUCCAGUUGAAUGUGCCUUGUGGUCCUGCAGCCAGAUUCUCCAUAUGAGCACAGCACUGGGGUCUGUGCAGAGCCCAGAAGUGCUUGAGAGGGUCUGGGAGAAGAAAGAUACCUACCAGGCAACGCAGACAAGGAUGGCCCUGGCUGGCUCUCUGUAGUGCAAGAGUUUGCUAGCCACAUGCCAAAACCAGGGUCCCUGCUCUCCCAGCCUGACAUGUAUGUGCUCUAAUUUUCUUAGGCUUAAGAAGCACUGCCACCUUGGUCUUUUACAGAGUACAAAGCUCCCUCACAGCCAAGGGCUGGAGCUGAUCCUGCCUGGCCAGGGAGCAGUGAGCCCCAGCCCAGCCCAAGACUUGCUGCUGAUUUGCAGGUACAUGAGAGCAUCACCUCCUAAAGCAAGCCUGGGAAGGUGAUGGGUGCAGGUUCUAUAAUCAUAGAGUGCUGUGUGUUGGAAAGGGCAAUUAAGGUUGUCUAGACCAAUUCCCUUGCAGUGAGCAUCUGCAGCUAGAGCAGGUUGCUCAGAGCCCUGUCCAACCCAACCUUGAAUGUUUCCAGAGAUCAGGCAUUCACCACCUCUCUGGGCAGCCUGUGCCAGUGUUUCACCACUUUCAGUGUAAUAAAAGAGUCAUCUGGUACAAAUCCCCCCUCUUUUAGUUUAAACCCAUCACCCCUUUUACUGUCUCAUCAGGUCCUACUAAAACAAUCAUCCUCAUCUUUCUUACAGGACCUUUAAGUACUGAAAGGUCACAUGAUGGUCUCUCUGGAGCCUUCUCUUCUUCAGGUUGAACAGCCCCAACUUUCUCAGCCUGUCUUCACAGGAGAAGGGUUCCAGGUCCAUGUCUCUCCUGUGGUGAGGACUCCAGAGCUGGACACAGCAGUGCAGGUUCAGCAUCCUUGAAGGAUAUUACCCAUUUAAGUUACUGACUGGGACCUGCUCAUUUAAUUUCACCUUAAUAAAGAUUUUAUAUGGUUUUGACAUGU